ACAUGCAAGUCGAGCGAACAGACAAGGAGCUUGCUCCUUUGACGUUAGCGGCGGACGGGUGAGUAACACGUGGGUAACCUACCUAUAAGACUGGGAUAACUUCGGGAAACCGGAGCUAAUACCGGAUAAUAUUUCGAACCGCAUGGUUCGAUAGUGAAAGAUGGUUUUGCUAUCACUUAUAGAUGGACCCGCGCCGUAUUAGCUAGUUGGUAAGGUAACAGCUUACCAAGGCGACGAUACGUAGCCGACCUGAGAGGGUGAUCGGCCACACUGGAACUGAGACACGGUCCAGACUCCUACGGGAGGCAGCAGUAGGGAAUCUUCCGCAAUGGGCGAAAGCCUGACGGAGCAACGCCGCGUGAGUGAUGAAGGUCUUCGGAUCGUAAAACUCUGUUAUUAGGGAAGAACAUACGUGUAAGUAACUGUGCACGUCUUGACGGUACCUAAUCAGAAAGCCACGGCUAACUACGUGCCAGCAGCCGCGGUAAUACGUAGGUGGCAAGCGUUAUCCGGAAUUAUUGGGCGUAAAGCGCGCGUAGGCGGUUUUUUAAGUCUGAUGUGAAAGCCCACGGCUCAACCGUGGAGGGUCAUUGGAAACUGGAAAACUUGAGUGCAGAAGAGGAAAGUGGAAUUCCAUGUGUAGCGGUGAAAUGCGCAGAGAUAUGGAGGAACACCAGUGGCGAAGGCGACUUUCUGGUCUGUAACUGACGCUGAUGUGCGAAAGCGUGGGGAUCAAACAGGAUUAGAUACCCUGGUAGUCCACGCCGUAAACGAUGAGUGCUAAGUGUUAGGGGGUUUCCGCCCCUUAGUGCUGCAGCUAACGCAUUAAGCACUCCGCCUGGGGAGUACGACCGCAAGGUUGAAACUCAAAGGAAUUGACGGGGACCCGCACAAGCGGUGGAGCAUGUGGUUUAAUUCGAAGCAACGCGAAGAACCUUACCAAAUCUUGACAUCCUUUGACAACUCUAGAGAUAGAGCUUUCCCCUUCGGGGGACAAAGUGACAGGUGGUGCAUGGUUGUCGUCAGCUCGUGUCGUGAGAUGUUGGGUUAAGUCCCGCAACGAGCGCAACCCUUAAGCUUAGUUGCCAUCAUUAAGUUGGGCACUCUAAGUUGACUGCCGGUGACAAACCGGAGGAAGGUGGGGAUGACGUCAAAUCAUCAUGCCCCUUAUGAUUUGGGCUACACACGUGCUACAAUGGACAAUACAAAGGGCAGCGAAACCGCGAGGUCAAGCAAAUCCCAUAAAGUUGUUCUCAGUUCGGAUUGUAGUCUGCAACUCGACUACAUGAAGCUGGAAUCGCUAGUAAUCGUAGAUCAGCAUGCUACGGUGAAUACGUUCCCGGGUCUUGUACACACCGCCCGUCACACCACGAGAGUUUGUAACACCCGAAGCCGGUGGAGUAACCAUUUGGAGCUAGCCGUCGAAGG
rnacentral:rRNA from 1 species